GGACGGUUAGCUCAGUUGGCUAGAGCGCUUACUUGACGUGUAAGAGGUCAGGGGUUCGAGUCCCUUACCGUCCACCU
rnacentral:tRNA from 3 species